rnacentral:rRNA from 1 species
UGAACGCUGGCGGCAUGCCUUACACAUGCAAGUCGAACGGCAGCGCGGGGCAACCUGGCGGCGAGUGGCGAACGGGUGAGUAAUAUAUCGGAACGUACCCUAGAGUGGGGGAUAACGUAGCGAAAGUUACGCUAAUACCGCAUACGAUCUAAGGAUGAAAGUGGGGGAUCGCAAGACCUCAUGCUCGUGGAGCGGCCGAUAUCUGAUUAGCUAGUUGGUGGGGUAAAGGCCUACCAAGGCAUCGAUCAGUAGCUGGUCUGAGAGGACGACCAGCCACACUGGAACUGAGACACGGUCCAGACUCCUACGGGAGGCAGCAGUGGGGAAUAUUGCGCAAUGGACGAAAGUCUGACGCAGCGACGCCGCGUGUGGGAUGACGGUCUUCGGAUUGUAAACCACUGUCGGGAGGGACGAAUACGCCGCAAGGCGGGUGACGGUACCUCCAAAGGAAGCACCGGCUAACUCCGUGCCAGCAGCCGCGGUAAUACGGAGGGUGCGAGCGUUGUCCGGAAUCACUGGGCGUAAAGGGCGCGUAGGCGGCCUGAUAAGUAGGGGGUGAAAUCCUGCGGCUUAACCGCAGGGCUGCCUUCUAAACUGUCAGGCUCGAGCACAGUAGAGGCAGGUGGAAUUCCCGGUGUAGCGGUGGAAUGCGUGGAGAUCGGGAAGAACAUCAGUGGCGAAGGCGGCCUGCUGGGCUGUUGCUGACGCUGAGGCGCGACAGCGUGGGG